AUGAGUAUUGGAAAUAAGAUCUCAGGAGUAAAACCCCUCCAUCUUUAUUGUCACAUAUUCAAAGAAAGAAAGAAAGAAAAGAAAAAAAGGAAAAGGGGCAAUCUAGGGAUUCAAGACAGCGUCGCCUCGUCUUCUUCGCUGGUCCUCCGUCGCAAUUCUCCUUCAACCCAACAUCUCACCUCACGAUCUCCGGCGUCGCCUUAUAAAUUAGCGCCUCCGUCUUCUCUUCAAAAGAACAACAUGGCAACAUUAUAUGCCAAAGGAAAAGAUUGA